rnacentral:rRNA from 1 species
CCUACGGGUGGCAGCAGUGGGGAAUAUUGCACAAUGGGGGAAACCCUGAUGCAGCGACGCCGCGUGAGUGAAGAAGUAAUUCGUUAUGUAAAGCUCUAUCAGCAGGGAAGAAAAUGACGGUACCUGAGUAAGAAGCCCCGGCUAACUACGUGCCAGCAGCCGCGGUAAUACGUAGGGGGCAAGCGUUAUCCGGAUUUACUGGGUGGAAAGGGAGCGUAGACGGCAGUGCAAGUCUGGAGUGAAAGGCGGGGGUUCAACCCCCGGACUGCUCUGGAAACUGUACGGCUGGAGUGCAGGAGAGGUAAGUGGAAUUCCUAGUGUAGCGGUGAAAUGCGUAGAUAUUAGGAGGAACACCAGUGGCGAAGGCGGCUUACUGGACUGUAACUGACGUUGAGGCUCGAAAGCGUGGGGAGCAAACAGGAUUAGAUACCCGUGUAGUC